rnacentral:rRNA from 2 species
GCAUAUCAAUUAAAGCGGAGG